GGCAAAAGUUAAUAUCCAUAAGUCCAAAUUUAUGUAUGAUGCAUAAGUGAAUUACAGCCACUUGAUCAUGGAAUUUUUUUUGCCACGUGUUACGAUCUCAAGUUGUCACCCUGUGAACCUGAGUCACAGGAUCACACAUCUCUCACUUCUCCACUUCGCCUUCUCUUCUCUGAAUCGCCACCGUCUUUCUUCUCUCUAUCGCCACUGUGUUUCUUCUGUUCAUCGCCACCGUGAUUCGCCGUCGUGUUCGUGUUUCUUCUCUGUAUCGCCACUGUGACUUCGCCGUUGUGUUUGUUCUGUGUAUCGUCUUCUCCGUCACUCAGAAGCUGCGAUUGAAUUCUCGAAAUUGGAGAUUCAAUUUGCGCCUAACUCUAACAAUAUUCUAAUUUCAUCUUGGGAUUAUGUUGAGCUGCAAUUGAGCUCUUAUUUUAUGUGAUUUAAUUGCAAUUCGGCGUGGCUGUUGUCUUAACAAAUCAAGUAGUUUCACAGGUAGAUGGUUCUGCAAUGUUUGCUAGACCCCAAGUCAAGCCUAUUGGAGGCAAUAUUAUGGCUCAUGCAACCACAACAAGGUUAGCUCUCAGGAAAGGAAGAGGGGAAGAGCGAAUUUGUAAAGUGAUUAGUUCUCCUUGUUUGGCUGAAGACGCAGGUUGUAACCGCUAUGGUCCAGCAGGCUAUGGAAUAUAUUGAUAAGACACCGGAUAUUGAAACUCGUAUUGAACUUAUCAAAACACUGAUCAAAACACUGAUUAGCUAUGGCCGUGGUGUCGAAAAUGAAAGACAAUGGUUGCAUUCCUGAUGCUGUAACUUAUGAAACAAUUAUCCGUGCUCUCUUUGAAAAUGAUGAGAAUGAUAAAGCAAAGAAACUUCUCUGUGAAAUGAUUGCUACAGGUCUGUUGUAAGGGAAGUACUAGUUAGGCUACUUUGAAUUUUGAUGAUAAUGGUCUAAUGUUUAUUAUUUGGUAUUUUUGUUAGAUAUUUAUUGUAACUUAUCAGCUUUUGGAAUGCCUUGAUGCAAAACAAAUUUUAUGAAUUUUGGUAAUAUGGACAAUCUAGCUGUCUAGAAACUAAAGAAGGGUUAAGAUAUUGGCCACUGGUCUGAUGUCAUAAUUCUUCACUGAGAUUUUGGUAUUGGGUGCAAACUAGGGAGUGUCUUGUUUUUUAUCUGGCGUGUUGCUGCUAUUGGUAUUGGAUGAAAAGAUGUUGUUCGCUAUAAUACUUCUUGGUGUCUUGACAGAUUUUGUAGUCUGUUGAAUUUGGUGUACCUAGUUGAAUUCAAUAAAAUAGGCUAUUUAUCAACCAAAAAAAAAGUUGUAUUUAAACAGUUUCACAUAGUUUAUUUAGGCUGUAAAUGGUUCGAUAGAAUGUAAAUGGCUAGAUAAAAGAGGGCUUAAAUGAUGCACAGGGGUUGUGUUUAGAAAGUUUAUUUUAAGAUCAGUUGACUAGAUAGUUUAAUUCUUUUUGGAUUGUCCUUUUCUCAUUUUGUAUUUGGAUUAGAGUACCCUUUAGUCUAUUCUUUAUGAAAUAUCUCUCUUAGUUGUUUAAAAAAUAUGUAUUGAAAGUAAUCUUGCUAUGUGAUUCAUUGUCUUGUUUUAGACUGAUACAAAUUGUUGUUAUUGAGUUUGAGUCAGGUACAAGUUAUUACUCGCUUCGAUCUUUUUGUGGUUUUUUACACAUACUAAAAAUAUCAAUAAAUGUUGUUACUUUUGAUGGAAUUAUGUUUUUUAUCCUAUAAUAAUAAUUUAUUUUUUCAUGGAAUUUUGGAAUUUUUCCCUAUAAAUAUUACUGAUCAGUGUAUCUGCAGGGAAGGUUAGUUAGUUAUGUUUGAAUUCUCCAUUGUGUUUUAUUAUCUUUUCACAGAGUUAUCCAUCUUAUAAGAGAUAUGUUUUGGCUAUUUGUAUGUUGUACCGUGUUCUUCUUAGAUAUACGUUGAGAUUGAGAGAGCACGAUUGGCCAAGAAACUUGCCAAGAUUAAGGAAGAACAGGGGCUUAUUGCUGAGGCUGCUGAUCUGAUGCAAGAAAUUGCGGUGGAAACUUUUGGUGUCAUGGCUAAAACUGAGAAGAUUGCAUUCAUUCUGGAACAAGUUCGGUUGAAGAGUCUUGGUUUUUCUUCUUCAGCUCAAGUCAAACUGUAUAGAUCAUAUUGGUUCAAUAAGAUAGGGGUGAUGGUAGUGCUUGGUUAUUGAUCACAUUUGUUCUAUAGUUUAAGGCGAAAAUGGAAAUGCAUUUGUGAAUAAGUGUGUACUAUAGGUUGUGAAUAAUGGUUUGAAUAUUCAGGAUUUAAAAAAUCUAUUUUACUCUCAUAGUCAA